AGCCCCGAGGUGAAAGCACGCUAAAGUGCAAAUUUAGAGAGGCACCAUAAGAGGUGCCGGGGCUU
rnacentral:tRNA from 1 species